GGUGGGAUUCCCGAGUGGUUAAAGGGAGCAGACUGUAAAUCUGCCGUCGUUAGACUUCGAAGGUUCGAAUCCUUCUCCCACCA
rnacentral:tRNA from 1 species